GGAGAUGUGGCUGAGUGGCUGAUAGCCUUGGUUUGCUAAAUCAAUCUAUAUUUUUUUUAAUGUAGCGUGGGUUCGAAUCCCACCAUCUCCU
rnacentral:tRNA from 1 species